rnacentral:tRNA from 1 species
GGAAGGGUGAUCGAGCGGUUUAAGGUACUGAUCUGGAACGUCAGUUUCUAAUAGAACGAGGGUUCGAAUCCCUCUCCUUCCA